rnacentral:lncRNA from 1 species
GUUGCUGUGGUUGUGGCGUAGGCUGGCAACUGCAACUCCGAUUAAACCCAAAAUAAAAUAAGAUAAAUAAAAUAAAAAUCUAUAUGUUCUUAUAUAUACAAUCAUGAAAGAAAGUAGGCUCAUGGGUUAACAAAAAAUAAACAGGCAAAAUGAACAACAAAGAUGAAGGAUUGUUACUUGGAAAUGGUCCAGGCAUGGAGCAAAAGUUUGAGCACAAAUCUAUUCUUGCUAGGUGUUGAUUUUUCUAUUUAUUUUCUGAAAGUUUUAUUUUGGAUAUUGGCAUUGAUUUAGAUAUCCUAAGACGUGUAAUCAUUAGAUUUUUAGGUCCACCUACCAAAUUUACACAAAUUUGGUGGCGUAAAACAACAGACUUUUUAUCUCAUAUUUCAGGAGGCCAGGGUUUUGAGAUUAAGGUGCGGAUAAGGUUGGUUGCUUCUGGAGGGUCAGAGGGAGAAGCUAUCCUGUGCCUCUCUCCUAGCUUCUGGGGGCUCUGGCAAUACUUGACAUUGUUUGGCUUACAAAUGAAUCACUUCAGUCUCUACUUCUGUCUCACCUGACUUUCCCUCUACAUGUUUGAGUCUGUUUUCAAAUCUCCCUCUGCUUUCUUUUACAAGAACACUGGUCAUUGGAUUCAGAGUACACCUUAAGCCCAGGAUGAUCUCAUCUCAAGAUCUUUCACUUAAAUCUACAAAGACUCUAAUUCCAAAUAAGGUCAUGUUCAGAGAUUCUGGGUGGCAUAUAUUUUGGGAGCCACUACAUUAGCAUUCAUCAUCUGAGGAAACUGGUCAAAAAUCUAAAUAUAUCCACUUUGUAAUAACCUGUAGACGUGUUGGGAAUGUAAAAUUUCUAAAUGUUUUAGAACCUGAAUAUUCAAUUAAUUAUUCAAUAGACGUUGAAUAUGAGGCAAAGACAGCUAACUUUACUGAGUGUUUAAGUUCUAUGUUUUUAGCCCCUUUUAAGGGAAAAUAUUCACCUACAUUUCUUGAUGAGGCAUUGCAUGACCCAACUCUCAACUUUCCUACCCACUUUAUAAACUGGCCAAGGAUAGUAAAUAGCCAGAAAAUCUCUGCUGAGGAGAUUUUUUGACUUUUACAAUUUGAAUUGGGAAACAUGGACAAAACAGUUACAAAGUUAAACUAUGAGAGUUGACGCUAAAAGGACACAUUGAGAAAUGAGAUAAUGGGGUAAAAUAGAGGACAUGUCUCAUUAUGAACAUGUGAAAAUAAUGAGGAAACAAUAAAGGGAGUAGAUCAUGUGAAGAGUACACAGAGAGAGUGGGGAACCUAAUUUACUGUGCUGUAAAAAAGACAGCAAACUUGCUCACAACUCAAGGAAUUUACUUUUGCUGUUCCCUCUAAGAAUUCUUUUUCAAAUAUCACUAUAGUUUAUCACUUCAAUUCCUUCACAUCUCUGCUCAAAUGUCACAUUUUCAUAUAACCUGUUUCCAAUCACCCUAUAUUAAAUUAGCACCCACUCGCACAACCAUUACCACCAAUUUGUGACACUAUUAUCCUUUAUCUGAUUUAUUUUCCUUUAUAGUACUAUCAACACACACACACACAGACACACAGACACACAGACACAAUGCCUUUUGUAUCUCUACCCACUAUAAUAUAAGGUAUUUGAUGGUAAAGACUUUUUUUUUUCAUUUCUGUGAACUCAAAUGCCUAGAAGAAUGCUAGGCAUAUAAUAGAAAAUAAAUGUAAAAAGAAAAAGUGAACAGAUUAAAUUGAAAUGGAGAGAUUCUUUUUUUUUUUUUUUUUUUUUUUUUUUUGUCUUUUUUGUUGUUGUUGUUGUUGUUAUUGCUAUUUCUUGGGCCGUUCCCGCGGCAUAUGGAGGUUCCCAGACCAGGAGUUGAAUCGGAGCUGUAGCCACUGGCCUACGCCAGAGCCACAGCAACGCGGGAUCCGAGCCGUGUCUGCAACCUACACCACAGCUCACGGCAACUCCGGAUCGUUAACCUACUGAGCAAGGGCAGGGACCAAACCCGCAACCUCAUGGUUCCUAGUCGGAUUCGUUAACCACUGCGCCACGACGGGAACUCCUGAAAUGGAGAGAUUCUUGAGUGAUGUUAAUAACAUGAAUAAAAAUUAGGACAACUCUGAUGGGUCCCUGGACCAAGUCUUAAUAUUCCUGAGGUGGUUUUGUUUAAUAGAUUCUUUUAGAAUUCCAUAUGAUAGCUGACACCACUUUUGAUAAUAGCCAUACUACUUGAUCUAGAAUGAGCGAGUCUUCUAUUUUAUAACAAAAGCAAUAUGGAUUAAAUACAAUACAACUGCUUAGUGACAAUGGUAGGAGUAAAAUUCAGAUUCUAAAUGCAGUUGACAAAGGGAAAUGUAUUAAAAAUAUGCUACAAAUGGGAGUUUCUGUCAUGGCUUAGUGGAAACAAAUCUGACCAGCAUCCAGGAGGACACAGGUUGGAUCUCUGGCCUUUCUCAGUGGGUUAAGGAUCUUGCGUUGCCCUGAGCUAUGGUGUAAGUUGCAGACAUGGCUCCGAUCUGGCAUUGCUGUGGCUGUGGCAUAGGCUGGUGGCUACAGCUCCGAUUUGACUCCUAGCCUGGGAACCUCCAUAUACUGAGGGUGCAGCCCUAAAAAGCCAAAAAAAAAAAAAAAAAUAGGUAUAUGCUGCAAAUAUAAGCAUAUAAUACAUUUCACAGCCACAUGUAAUUUAUUGGUUAGAUUUUCCAUUGGCUUGAGUUAUCUGUGUCUUUUAUCUGAUACUUUUAAGCAGGUAUUCAAAAGUUGCUAACAUUUGUACUAAAUAAUAAAUGUAUGCCUUUUCAAUAACAUUUCUAAUUCUCUAGCUCAGCAACAAGUUAGUUGUAUUUUUCUAUUUGAAUUGUCAGUGGAAUAAGAAUAUGCCCAAGGUAGAACUGAUCUGUGUGAUUUUGAUGAAAAUAAGAGUUUACAUUGCUAUUUUCAUGGAUAUUAUCAAAGGGAUUUUGUUACGAAUGCGUUUUUAGUUAUUCAGAGGCUCUUGUAAAACCAACUUCUAUUUUUUCUUCUGAAAACACUGUAAUUCAUUUUAUACCUUCUUAAAUUAAAGCAUACCUUCCCUAAAAUGGCAUUGUAUUGGAUGAAUUUCCCUCUGAGAGGCCCAUAAUCUAUGAAAGUCAGAUAUGAAUAGAAUUUUCUGCCCUAAACAAGAUUACACAAUACAUUUUUGCCUCCACUGCAGAAAAGUUCUUAUUCAAAUUAGGCAAGGUUCCCUCCCCCCACCCCCGCCCGGACUAUCAACUGCAUUCACAUGCAUUAAACACAUCAAGGAGAUGUUUAUAAACAUUACAUGCUCACUUGAAAAUGUAUUUCAUUUUCAACUUGCAGAUUAGGACACAUACUUUAUCUAAGGAGACAUAUCUUUUUCAAAGAUUUUGAUUAAAAAUCAUGAUGUCUUGUAAUGACAAAUUCUUUCUUAGGUCACUCAAAAUGACAUCUACAUACGGUUAUCAGAAAUGGUAAGUGCUUUCUUCUAGUCUCCAUUAUUUGCAAACUCUAUUUAUAUUUUGUUUCUGAUUAAUAUAAUUCAUAUAGACCAACAUAACUCAAAAAAGUAGAAUUGAUAAUAAUAUAGAUAUGUCUUAAUAUUACUUUGCCUUUGUACUUCUUUAUUAAUUUUCAAAAAUAUUUCCUGGGAGCUGGAUCAAGAUGGCAGAAUAGAAGAAUGUGAAGCUCAUUUUCUCCCACAAAUCAAUCCAAAAUAUGUCUACAUGUGGAACAGUCCUCACAGAAUACCUGAUGAACACUGGCAGAUCUUAUAAAACCAAAAUUACAAGAAAUAUCACCAUGUAAUGAGUAGAACAAAAGGAAAAAAAAAGGAAUUAGGAUGGGACCUGUAACCCUGGUAGGGAGCUAUGAGACAGGAAAGGUUCCCUCACCUUGGAAAGCCCCUUCACUGGCAGGGAGAUCAUCCAAGGCAGAAAGGGAGCUUCAGGGGCUCAGAGGAGAGUGAAACAGCAACCUUAUAGAAGGCGUAAUGAAAAAAGAGAUCAGCACAGAGGAUCCAUGCCACUUCCCCGCACUCCACAGACCUAAGUCUACUAGUGCACAUGGGGGCUGGAUGCUGAAAUUUGGGCUUCCGAGGACAGACAGAGUUUGGGGGAGGACUACGUUUGGCUGAACAGAGACAGCCUUAAGAGGCUGGAAUGUGGUCCAAGCUGUAACCAGGGGUGUGCAAAGGAGAGUCCAGGUCCACCAUUGAAGCCCUAUUUUCAACCUACACCCUUGAAGGCAGUGUUGGGGCUGGCCGUAAUAGCCUCAUUUUUGAUGUGCUCAGAGCAGCCAAGGAUUCACCUCUAUAAGCUCUGGGUACAUGCAGAUACUGGUGGGUUGCCCUCAUAUGGAGGCAGGGCUUAAACAGGCUGAUUGCCAGGGACUGCAUGACUUCUGAAGCAGGGAUGAAAUCUGAGCUAUGACCCAGCAACUAUGCAAUCUAUAAAUUAAUGCCCUAUUGGUAGCUUUGUAAAUUCAAUGCCUGUGGAAAAUCCAAGGGGUUUAUUGGUGUUCCUAUGGCUGGGGUAGGUCCUGACCAUAGCAACUAUAGGCUCUGGAGGUGCAUGCAUGAGGAAGCAGGGCCAGGUCUAAGCUGCAUCAAUGGCUUCCAUCUUAGAUACAAGUGUACAACUACUCCAGGUGCAUUGUUACAUUAGUGUGGCUUCCUGACCUCAGUGGUUCUGGACCAAUUGAUCUGUGCCAGCGGCUUUAUGAGCACAGCACUGAGGGACACAAGGGCUAAUUGCCUGAAUUCCCAUGACUGAGGUGGGGCUGAAGACAGUACUCAAAACAGUGUAUCUUGUGAGCCCACACAGUGAAUGACGGAUGAUACCACCAAGUGUACUUCCUUGUAGACACAUCCUGAGGAGUAAUACUUAAUGGUUCCUUUCCCAGUGGAGGUGUUCCAGUCCCACCCACCUCACACCAGUGUUCAAAAAUGAAUCUGGGAGUCCCAUCAUGGCUCAGUGGAAUGAAUCUGACACGCAUCCAUGAGAACGCAGGUUCAGUCUCUGGCCUCAUUUAGUGGGUUAAGGAUCUUGUGUGGCUAUGAACUGUUGUGUAGGUUACAGAUGUGGCUCAGAUCUGGCAUUACUGUGGCUCUGGUGUAGGCCAAGUGGCUACAGCUCUAAUUCAACCCCUAGCCUGGGAAC